CACUCCUACGGGAGGCAGCAGUAGGGAAUCUUCGGCAAUGGGGGCAACCCUGACCGAGCAACGCCGCGUGAGUAAGAAGGUUUUCGGAUCGUAAAGCUCUGUUGUAAGUCAAGAACGAGUGUGAGAGUGGAAAGUUCACACUGUGACGGUAGCUUACCAGAAAGGGACGGCUAACUACGUGCCAGCAGCCGCGGUAAUACGUAGGUCCCGAGCGUUGUCCGGAUUUAUUGGGCGUAAAGCGAGCGCAGGCGGUUUGAUAAGUCUGAAGUUAAAGGCUGUGGCUCAACCAUAGUUCGCUUUGGAAACUGUCAAACUUGAGUGCAGAAGGGGAGAGUGGAAUUCCAUGUGUAGCGGUGAAAUGCGUAGAUAUAUGGAGGAACACCGGUGGCGAAAGCGGCUCUCUGGUCUGUAACUGACGCUGAGGCUCGAAAGCGUGGGGAGCGAACAGGAUUAGAAACCUUUGUAGUCCCA
rnacentral:rRNA from 1 species